rnacentral:rRNA from 1 species
UGGGGAAUUUUGCACAAUGGGGGAAACCCUGAUGCAGCGACGCCGCGUGAUUUAGAAGGCCUUCGGGUUGUAAAAAUCUUUUCGAUGGGAAGAAAAUGACAGUACCAUAGGAAUAAGGACCGGCUAAUUACGUGCCAGCAGCCGCGGUAAUACGUAAGGUCCGAGCGUUGUCCGGAAUCAUUGGGCGUAAAGGGUACGUAGGCGGGUAAGCAAGUUAGAAGUUAAAUCCUAUAGCUCAACUAUAGUAAGCUUUUAAAACUGCUCAUCUUGAGGUAUGGAAGGGAAAGUGGAAUUCCUAGUGUAGCGGUGAAAUGCGCAGAUAUUAGGAGGAAUACCGGUGGCGAAGGCGACUUUCUGGCCAUAACCUGACGCUGAGGUACGAAAGCGUGGGUAGCAAACAGG